UACGUAGGGGGCAAGCGUUGUCCGGAUUUACUGGGCGUAAAGAGCGUUGUAGGCGGCCAAACAGGUCCGUUGUGAAAACUGGAGGCUCAACCUCCAGACGUCGACGGAAACCGUGUGGCUAGAGUCCGGAAGAGGAGAGUGGAAUUCCGUGGUGUAGCGGUGAAAUGCGCAGAUAUCAGGAAGAACACCAAUGGCGAAGGCAGCUCUCUGGGACGGUACUGACGCUGAGACGCGAAAGCGUGGGGAGCGAACAGG
rnacentral:rRNA from 1 species